CGUCGUAGAAUCUAAUAGUCGAGUUGUGUCCGACGUAUUCGGAUAGGAUAACGAUGACAAGUCGAAUAUCUGUUGUCCGGCCCUUGGUCGGGCAUGCACGUCAUGACGUAUAAUAAACGGUGGCAAGCCGAAUAUCCUUCGACCGAUCGUGACCAAGUCGGUAUGUCGCAAGUCGAACUACGAUCAUCUUGGCAUUUUGCCCUUCUAGUC
rnacentral:lncRNA from 1 species